GUAGUCUCGCACAGAUGCAUAUCAAUAAGCGGAGGAAAAGAAACUAACAAGGAUUCCCUCAGUAACGGCGAGUGAAGCGGGAAGAGCUCAAAUUUGAAAUCUUGAAAGGUCACCUUUCACGAAUUGUAGUUUAAAGAAGUGUUUUCUGUUACGAUCGUAAUAUAAGUUCUUUGGAAUAGGACAUCACAGAGGGUGAGAAUCCCGUCUAUGAUUGCGAUUUGUAGCUUUGUGAUUACACUUUCAAAGAGUCGGGUUGUUUGGGAAUGCAGGCCCAAAACGGGAGGUAAAUUUCUUCUAAGGCUAAAUAUUGGCGAGAGACCGAUAGCGAACAAGUACCGUGAGGGAAAGAUGAAAAGAACUUUGAAAAGAGAGUUAAAUAGUACGUGAAAUUGUCAAAAGGGAAGCGUUUGACACCAGUGUUGUUUUCUCGAAAAUCAAUUAAAAAGAGUUAGAUUUUGUUGUGUAUUGACCUUAACAGCUUGCAUUUCAAUUUUCUUGCUUUUUUUAAUGCACUUUUCGUUUAACAAGUCAACAUCAGUUUCUUUUGUUGUAAAAAGGUCAUUGGAAGGUGGCUUUCUUUUCGGAGAAAGUGUUUAUAGCCUUUGACUCCUGCAAUCGGAGAGACUGAGGUCUGCAGCGUAGAUCCUUCGGGGUUAGAUACAUUUGUGCUAAGUUAUAGCUUUUUAUAGACAACUUGUUGACUAUGAUUAGUCUUGUAGCUUACUCGCUUAUGCUAUUUUACCUACGCUUAGGAUGUUGAAGAUGUAGCACAUCAU
rnacentral:rRNA from 1 species